UACGGAGGGUGCGAGCGUUGUCCGGAAUUACUGGGCGUAAAGCGCGUGUAGGCUGCUCUGCAAGUCGGAUGUGAAAGCCCUGGGCUCAACCUAGGAAGUGCAUUCGAAACUGCAGAGCUGGAGUCCUGGAGAGGAAGGCGGAAUUCUCGGUGUAGAGGUGAAAUUCGUAGAUAUCGAGAGGAACACCGGUGGCGAAGGCGGCCUUCUGGACAGUGACUGACGCUGAGACGCGAAAGCGUGGGGAGCAAGCAGG
rnacentral:rRNA from 1 species